UACAGAGGGGGCAAGCGUUAUUCGGAAUUAUUGGGCGUAAAGAGCUCGUAGGCGGUGUGUCGCGUCGGUCGUGAAAACUUGGGGCUUAACCCUGAGCUUGCGGUCGAUACGGGCAUCACUGGAGUUCGGCAGGGGAGACUGGAAUUCCUGGUGUAGCGGUGAAAUGCGCAGAUAUCAGGAGGAACACCGGUGGCGAAGGCGGGUCUCUGGGCCGAUACUGACGCUGAGGAGCGAAAGCGUGGGGAGCGAACAGG
rnacentral:rRNA from 1 species